ACUAAAAUAAGACUGGUGAGGAUGGAAAUCUUUCUUUUUGCCUUGAGAUUGAUAUGUCUGUUGACUUGGCAAAGUAUUAAGUAAGGCAGGGGGAGGCACCGCUGCCUUUUGUUUUGCCCAGUAGCCCAAACCCAGUAUGUUUUACCCAUUGGCCAUCCCAAUUUCUACUUAUCAAUCAUAAAAAAUUCAUAGAAAAUAUCUUUUAUUUCCCAUUAAGGAGGAAUGACUACGAAAGGAACUUGACAACCCCAUCGCACAGCGGUCUUGCAUGUUGCAAACCUUUAAAUUACAAUCUUCACCAUGUUCAUUGGAAUUUUGAUAGGCGUUUAGGCAUGUCUAGACGUCUUUUUUAUUUUUUAAAUAUCUAGUGAUUAAUCGUGACAGUGGUCUGUCGCUUAGCGCCUAAAUAGGCCCUAAGCCGUCUUAGGCUGGGCUUUUUAGAACAAUGAUAAAAGGACAAAAAAAAUAGAUAUAUCAAAGUCAAGAAAUACUUUGACUGCCACUUAGUACUAUGGUCUAAUGGUGUUCUUCUACACUUGUAAGUUAGAGGUCUUCAGUUCAAUUCAAAGUCAAGAAAUACUUUGACUGCCACUUAGUACUACGGUCUAGUAGUGUUCUUCUACACUUGUAAGUUAGAGGUCUUCAGUUCAAUUCUCGCUAAAAGCAAAUUUCAAUCAUAUUAUUGCUAGCCUAUUAUAAGAUUUAGCCCACUCCCUCAUCUCUUAGUGUAGAUAAUAUCAUUUGUUUACGGGGAAAAAAAAGGAAAACUAAUGAAAAUGACUUGAAAACUUUGAGUUUAACGAUAAGGACAAAAUAAAGGGUAAAGUGAAUAGUACCAUAUUUGACUUUUUAGUAUAAAAAUGUGAUUUUUCGUUAAAGUGAACAAUACCGCGGGCUUUUCGUUAAACUCCAAUAAAAAAAAAGACUUUGAUUAGUUGAGAGUCGGCAUUAUUGGUUCUCUAUUAUCUACAAGCAACUCAUUUGACAAAUUCUUUCUUAGGGUCCCGUCAUUUCCCGAACAUUAUAAAAAACUGACAUCCUGCAUUGGCACACAAUGAUUCAGUGGGAGCUUCGAUUAGUUCUAAAGGUGGGGUAGAAGCAAAGAGCGCGGAGCUAGAAUUUUUUUUACAAAUGAGCUAGCUAAAAAUAUUUCACUAAAAUUAAAUGAUAUUGUUUGCUACAUGUGUAUUGUAUACAAAAAUUUAAGUUUAACUUUUAUAUUUAUAUACUUUAAAAUUUGUUUGGGAUAAAUUCAAUAAACUUCGCAAUUGCAAACUGCAAAAACUACAAUAAAUCAUUUAGUUUCACUAUAUUUAGAUGCAAACAAAACAAGAAAUAGAAAACUUGUUAUAUGGACUAUCUCAAUAACAAGCAAACAACCAACACAAAACAAAACAAUGAAAGUAGAAAAUAAAGGCAAUCUUAAAAAUAAAAUUGAUUGAAAAUAAUACAAAGUCCACUAAAUCAAAGUAGAAGAAUCUUGAACAAAAUAACAUAACAAUUUUCAUGGUAACUUUUAUAUUUUUAGUUGUGACAGCCCGUUCUGAAAUAUAUAUAUUUUUUUUUCCGAUGGUGUGAAUUGACUAGAAUACCUUUGGAUGUUGAGUAUAUCGUGUAGUGUUGUGGUUUGAGUUUGGGUGUUAGACUAAUCUAAUUAGUUCCUAAGUUUUUAGAACUUAAAAAUUAUGGUUUUGUGGUUGUUAGUAGCCCAAAACUGGACCACACACUCACACUCACACACACCA
rnacentral:lncRNA from 1 species